AAGGGCACCACAAGAACGCGUGGAGCAUGUGGCUUAAUUUGACCCAACGCGGGAAAUCUUACCAGGUCCGGACAUAUUGAGGAUUGACAGGCGAUAAUAAUUACUUCGUUUUAACGAAGUUAAUUGUAUAAAAAUGAUAGUCCUUUCAUGAUUAUAUGAUAGGUGGUGCAUGGCCGUUCUUAGUUCGUGGAGUGAUUUGUCUGCUUAAUUGCGUUUCAGAUAUAUAAUUAUAUAAUUUAAAUUAUAUUAAUAAUAUAUAAUUUAAUAUUGUGCUGCCUUAUAUUUAUUUAUAAGGAUUUUAAGUGAACAUAUUAUAUUAUACAUAUAUUAUUAUAUAUAUUUAUUAUAUAUUAAAAUGAAUGCAACGAACGUGACCG
rnacentral:rRNA from 1 species